rnacentral:tRNA from 1 species
UGCACCCCUAGCUCAAUUGGAUAGAGCAUCGGUCUACGGAACCGAAGGUUGGUGGUUCGAGCCCACCGGGGUGUAU